ACUGACUUGCUGAACCCAUCAUCUGCUGCAUUUAAAAGUCGAGCUGCACUUAUAAAGUCAUAUCUUGAACCUCUCUUCCAGCGAGAGUUUUCUACAUUACGUGAUUUCAUUGUAACUUCAUUCAGCAACGGAUCAAUUAUCAACAACAUGGACCUUCAAUUUUCAGCAGCGUCUGUACCUARCAACAUUCAAAUUGCAGAGGUUUUGCUGAAAGCAGCUUCAAACGUCACAACUUUCAACAUCGACACUGGUUCUAUUCUUGUGGAUGACACAGCGGUUUCAAGUGGAGUAAGCCACAACAUCAGCCUCAUCACGGCACUCAGCUUGGUCCUGCUGUCAUGGCUUCUUUCAAACCAGCAAUAACGACUCUGCUGGUUUCCAGAGGAAGAUGUGCUGGAAAAUGACAAUUCUUAGUGGUGCGAAGAAGGACAUUCUAAAAAUUCACUCAUGACACUUUAAAACUUUAAAAACCUUUAUUGAAACUUGA